AUACGUAGGUGGCGAGCGUUGUCCGGAAUUAUUGGGCGUAAAGAGCAUGUAGGCGGCUUAAUAAGUCGAGCGUGAAAAUGCGGGGCUCAACCCCGUAUGGCGCUGGAAACUGUUAGGCUUGAGUGCAGGAGAGGAAAGGGGAAUUCCCAGUGUAGCGGUGAAAUGCGUAGAUAUUGGGAGGAACACCAGUGGCGAAGGCGCCUUUCUGGACUGUGUCUGACGCGGAGAUGCGAAAGCCAGGGUAGCGAACGGGAUUAGAUACCCCGGUAGUCCUGGCCGUAAACGAUGGGUACUAGGUGUAGGAGGUAUCGACCCCUUCUGUGCCGGAGUUAACGCAAUAAGUACCCCGCCUGGGGAGUACGGCCGCAAGGUUGAAACUCAAAUGAAUUGACGGGG
rnacentral:rRNA from 1 species